rnacentral:lncRNA from 1 species
CAGGCACUGGUAAAUACUCUUCAUACAUUGGAGGGCGAGUAGUAAUUGGUCCAAAAGGUGGAGGAAGAUUCAUUUUAUUCAUAAGAUGAAGCACCUGGACAUAAAAUUUGGGCACGCUUGCCAAAGCAUUUGCUAUAUUUGCUAGAAUUGUACUUGAAGGUGGCGGAUACAGAUACUUGAGGCAAGAAUUGAUGGGAAAUGUGAGGCCAUGGCUAGGUGCAAUUCCAUUCUCUAUUUUAAGACAGCUUGUUUCUCUCUUCUCUUCUUCUUUCACCGGCUCUUCUGAACUUUUAUAUUUGUCUGAGAAUGAAGGUUGGUUAAGUACUUGCAUGCUAUCUUGCUCCUUUGCAAAUUCAACCACUAAAGUGUGCCCUAAAAGUUUCAGCUGAUGCAGUCUUGAUAAAGCCUUUACAGCAGCAUUUUCACUAGGAAAAGUAGCAAAAGCAGUAUGUUUCAGCCGUCCGUGGUCCGACAGGACGCGCACGGCCACCGCCCCGAAGUGCUGCAGCAGGUCCUCCUUCUCCGCCACGGUCAACUCGGCGGGCAGAUGCCGCACCAGGAGCGUCCGCCCACGCCGUCGCGCCACGCCGAGAUGACACAGUCCCGCGCCCAGCGCCGCGCCGCCCGUCCGCUCCUCCUCGCUUCCCGUCGCCGCCAUUGCAGCGCGACGCCGGAAGCGGCGGCAAUACCACAAGUCGC